AAAAACUCAUCCUUGCCAGGCAAAUGGCAGGCACAGUACCCCAUGAGUAGCUUGAACAGGCAGAGACCACUCAGUCUGUCACCGUGUAUUACAUCUCCUUGGCCUGCAGUUCCCUCCUUCCUGCAGAGGACAGUCUACACAAACAGAACGAGACCUGGAACCUCACGGUCUGGCACAGAAGACCCUAUGCUAAGUAGAGCUGAUGCAGGGGAGAUGGGGUCCUCGUGGACACCCACCCUUCAAGCUGAAGAGAAGGCCGCACUGGGAACCAGAUGCAGUCAUCCCUCUAAUCCAGCCUGCUGCUUGCCCUGGGCUAACAUCUAAGAAACUGGCAUGGUGACGUAGGAGGGUGGGCUCCUGGCUCAGCAAGAGGGUACUGGAGGGUUUAAGCCCAGGCUGGCUCCCUCCGGCUCCUCUAAUGAGGAUGCAUGUCUGGCAUGGGGGCAAAUGGGAAUUUAAUCUGGUUUGAGUUUAAUGA
rnacentral:lncRNA from 1 species